rnacentral:lncRNA from 1 species
AGGCGACCCAAGACCGUCCGCGGAGGGUAGGCUCGCGAGCUGACACCGCCGCCUUGGUCCUGCCGCGGCUGGCCUUACAUAGGGCGCACGACCAGGGAAGGUUGCGGGCCUGGGCCGCAAGGCGCGCCCCGCUGGCAGGCAGAGCGGCGCCGGCGAAGGCGGAGCUGGGGCGGGACGCGAGGGCGCGGGGCGGGCCGGGAGUGCACCUGAGGCCCGGGCGGGGCCUGUCCUGGGGACCUGGCGAGGCCCGGCCUCUGCCAGCCAAGCCUGCUGGGGACGACCGAGGUAGCCCGGGCUCGGCUUAGGAAGGCAGCGGGACUCGAGGCCUUGGGGUCCGAGUCCGAACUCGCUCCUCUAGCGCCGGGCGGGGAGCGAGUGGGAGAGCGGCCGCGAAGCUCCAGUGUUGAAAACGCACCCCUCCCAGCUUUUUGCAAGGCCUACUUGGGGGCGGAGAGACAAGCAAGCUGUCAUGUUAUAAGCAGCCCUUUGAGGGGUCCAUGUGAUGUCAAGGAAUGAAGUCUCUAGCCAACAUUUAAUGAGGAACUGAGGCCCACCAACAACCUUGAGUGAGCUUGGAAGUAGCUCCUUCAGCAUCAGUUGGGUGUCGAGAUGACUACUGACAGCUUGACUGCAACUUCAUGAGAGUCUUCUGGACCAGAACCACUCAGUUAAGUGGCUCCCAGAUUCCUGAUCCUCAGAAACUCUGAGAAAUAAUGAAUGUUGGUUGUUUUAAAAUGGUAAAUUUUGAGGUAUUAUGUUAUGUGGCAAUAGAUAGCUAAUAUAUAAAUUAUUUGAAUCAAACAAUACGUUAAAUUAAAGCUCAGAAGAAUAAACAUCUGUAAUUCCUUAAUUUGUUUUCCCUUCUAUUCUACAGAAUAGAAUUUUACAGAUGAACCUUGUAGUUACUUGUGCAAUAAGAGACAGUAUGUUGUAUUGAUUAAGUGCAGAGCCUCUGGAUGUAUGAUAGAAGAAAGACCAAUAUUCAAUUGCUUUCUUCUUCAAUUCCAAGCUUGUGAGCUUGAGCAAAUUUUAAAAGUGUUUUAAGCCUCAGUUUCCUGGGAUGGUAGUGCUUAGCUCGAGCUCCUAGCAUAUAUUAACUACAAACUAAAUAUUAGCUAUAAUUAUUAGUUUUACUUUGAUUAUUGACUCUAAAUAAAUACCUUAAGAACUUUGUGUUCUCCACAGAUUUGGAUAUGUCUGGACGUUAUGUAGGCUGGAGUAGUCAGCAAUUACUUGCCUGAGGAAGGGAAGGCCUCCUCCUUUAAGAAAAGAAUAGGCUGGGUGCGGUGGCUCAUACUUGUAAUCCCAGCAUUUUGGGAGGCUGAGGAGGGUGGAUCACCUGAGGUCAGGAGUUUGAGACCAGCCUAAGGAACAUGGUGAAACCCUGUCUCUACUAAAAAUACAAAAAUUAGCCAAUUGUGGCACGCGCCUGUAGUCCCGGCUACUCAGGAGGCUGAGGUGAGAGGAUUGCCUGAGCCUGGGAGGUGGAGGUUGCAGUGAGCCGAGAUCGCGCCACUGCACUCCAGCCUGGGCAACAGAGUAAGACUCCGUCUCAAAAAAAAAAAAAAGAAAGAAAGAAAAGAGUAGAAGGCCCAAGCUUAGUCCAAUAUUAUAGCUUCAGCAUCAGAGUAGAGAAUGAUUCAGAGCAUCUGUCCAGUGUCUGCUGUAGAUCCCUCAAAUCCGUGUUUGGACGCUUCUGGUAAGGGGUGUAUGGCAGAUGCACCCGACAGAUGCACUUGGCAGCAAUAACUUAUGCAUACCUGAAGAAUGACCCUAUGGUCUAAGAAGAAUGUGUGUUCAGAGCUCCAAGCUAAGGAAUCUGGGAGUGGCCAACCCAGAUAUUUCAUUUCUUAUCUAUGACGAACUUCUGAACUGCUCCCACCCCCAGCCCAUCCUGUAGAAUGCAGGCCCUACGAGGCGAUCAAAGCCCUUUGUUUUAGGUUAAAUGAAGGUUGCCUGGUGGAGGUUGCUAGGGGAAAGGUGUUAAGUAAAAAUGUUAUAUAAACUGCAUGGUGUUUUUUGUUUGUUUUUGUUUUUUUGAGACAGAGUUUUUGCUCUUGUUGCCCAGGCUGGAGUGCAAUGGUGCAAUCUCGGCUCACUGCAACCUCCGCCUCCUGGGUUCAAGUGAUUCUGCUGUCUCAGCCUCCCAAGUAGCUGGGAUUACAGGUGCCCACCACCAGGCCCGGCUAAUUUUUUGUAUUUAGUAGAGUCAGGGUUUCCCCAUGUUGGUCAGCCUGGUCUCAAACUCCUGACUUCAGGUGAUCCACCUGCCUCAGCCUCCCAAAGCGCUGGGAUUACAGGUAUGAGCCACCACGCCUGGCCAAUUGCAUGCUUUUUACAAGGAGUUUUGGUUCUCCUGCCCAGCCCACUGCCACUGGACUGCCCUGUAUUGUAAGUCCCCUCAAUAAACCUUAUGUCUCAGUUUCUGGUUCUAGGUCUCUUCUUCAGCCUCUUGAACAUGGUGCCAUCCCUACUGAAGUCAAUGGGGUCUGACAUGACUAGGGGAACUUGAACAAAAUCUGAAAUAGCUGUUUUUUUCUUGCCAAAAUCACUGUAAGACAUUAUUUGCCUCAGCCCCAGAACAUUGAAUUAUAUGACCCAAGAGUGGAGAAACAGAGAAGUCUGUCUGUGUCAUCAGACAAUAUCCCAAGUGGGAUGUCAUCACCCCAAUGCAUAUUGGCAUUUGGGCAGAGUAGAGCAGCGUCAGCCUAGCAAGACUUGGCACAAUUCUGUUGGAUUGCACAAUAGAAUGAGAAAUCACAUUUCUGCUGUUAUGUGAUUCUGCAUUUUAACUCCAGUUUGUUUGGCCUGGACAGACAGGUAACUAGCCAUGAAGACAAUGGACCUUGAAACAUUCUGAAGACUAGAAAAAGUAUGUAAUAAAAUACUUUGAACAACUGUUUAAGGACUUAAAUGUCCAGACUGUUUCUUUAGAUGAGUGUAAUUUCCAAUGUGAAACCCCACAAUUCGGCUUCAAGAGGUACAGGACAGUUUUUGAAUUCCACAGAAAAAAUUUUGCAUUGCAACAAACUUGACCAUCCUAUUUGUGGUAGUAGAAAUGUAAAUUCAUUCCCCUCAGAGAUACCUGCAAAAAUGAAAUGUGAAAUAUUCUGCUUGCAUUUUAAAGACUGGUUAUUGCAUUCUAGAAUAGAUGGAAAAGACAUUAGUGAGGGCCAAUAUAGAAAUAUGAGUUUUCCCAAAAGACUUUUAUGUAUAUAUAUGACAUGGCAGGAAAAUUGGGUCACUAGUGGUUUUUACUUCUUCGUUCAUUUGGCAAACAUAUGAAUAGACUGAUGUGUGCCAAACACUGUUCCGAGUUCUGGGAACUGAGGAAAGAAACAAGCUAUCUGUUUUCAUGGAGCUCGUAUUUUACUUGGAGGAUGGAGAGGCUGACAAUAAACUUGUACAAAUAAAUACAAACUUCAAGUAGUGGUAAUUGCCAAGGUGAAAGAAAAGAGAGUAAUGGUAUAGAAUGACAGUCAUUGGGUAGCUGCUUUAGAUGAAUGGUAAGUGAACAUGUUUCUGAGAAAGUGAUAUCUGAGCUGAGAGGCAAAGGACGAGAAGGAAUCUGUCAUGUGAAGAUCUGGGAAGCAGGUGUACUAAGCAGAAGAGCAGCAAGUACAAAGACUGUGAGGUAAGGGAUGUGCUCGGGGUGACUAAGUAACGGAGAGAAGACCAGCGUGACUAGAACAUAGUGAUCAAAGUGAGUAAUGUUGGAACAUAAGUCAGAGACAUUGGCAGGAGGCCAGUUUUUAUGGAAGCCAAAUUGUCUAGUGCCUUGUAGAUAGUGGCAAGGAGUUUGGAUUUUAUUCUAGAUGGAACACUACCAGAAUAUUUUUUCUUUUUUGAGACAGGGUCUCACUGUCACCCAGGCUGGAGUGCAGUGGCAUGAUCUUGACUCUCUGCAACUUCUGCCUCCUGGGCUUAAGUGAUCCUCACACCUCAUCUUCCCCAGAAGCUAGGACUACACGCACCACACCUGGCUAAUUUUUGUAUUUUUUGUAGAGAUGGGAUUUUGCCAUGUUGCCCAGGCUGGUCUUGAAUGCUGCCCACUUUGGCCUCCCAAAGUGCUAGGAUUAUAGGUGUGGGCCACCGUGCCUGGCCUAUCAGAGUAUUUUCAGGCAGAGAAAAGCAUAAGGUCUUACUUCUAGCAUAAAAGGAACAUUCUGGCUGCUAUAUAGAGAAGGGACUGUAGAGGACAAGAAUGAAAGCAGGUUGACUGAUUAGAAAGCAUUGCAGCAUUAUAGGCAAGAGCUUAUGAUGGCCUGAACUAGAGUGGUAACUGUGGAAGAGAUAAAUGGAUGAAUUCAGAAUAUUUUUGGAGGAAAAAGGUGACAUGAUUUACUAUUGGAUGUGGGCAUGAGGGAAGGAAAUUAAGGAUGACUCCUGGAUUUUUAGCCUGAGCAACUUUAUAGCUUUUCAUGUUUGUUUUUGAAAUGGGGAGAUUUGAUGGGGUGGGGGUUUGGGAAAUUAAGAGUUUUUUAUUUUUAUUUUUUGCUUUUUAAAAAUUGUGGUGAAAUACACAUAACAUAAAAUUUACCAUUUUAACCACUCUUAAGGGCAUUAAGUACAUUCACAUUGUGCAACCAUCACCAUCAUCCAUCUGUAGAGAACUCUUUUCAUCUUGCAAAAUUGAAACUCUGUACCUAUUAAACACUAACUCCCCACUCCCCUCCUUACCCUAGCCCCGAAAACCCUUCUAUAAUACAGAAGUCUCUAUGAAUUUGACCACUCUCAUAAGUGGAAUCACAUAGUAUUUGUCCUUUUGUGACUCGCUUUUAUUGUCACUUAGCAUAAUGUCUUCAAGGUUCAUCCAUGUUGUAGCAUAUGUCAGAAUUUCCUUCCUUUUUAAGACUGAAUAAUAUGCCAUUAUAUAUGUAUACUACAUUUUGUUUACCCAUUCAUCCACUGAUGGACACUUGGGUUGCUUCCAUCUUUUGCCUGUUGUGACUAAUGCUGCUGUGAACAUGUAUGUACAAGUAUCUAUUUGAGUACUUGCUUUUAAUUCUUUGGGUAUAUACCCAGAAGUGGAAUUGCUGGAUCAUGUGGUAAUUCUAUGUUUAAUUUUUUUAAGGAAUUGCCAUACUGUUUUCCCCGGUAGCUGUACCAUUUUACAUUCCCACCAACAGUGCACAAGAGUUCCAGUUUCUCCACGUCCUCGCCAAUACUUGUUAUUUUCUGUGGUUUUGCUGUUGUUGUUGUUUUGUUUGUUUUUGUUUUUUUACAGAAGCUAUCCUAAUGGGUAUAAAGUGGUAUUUCAUUGUGGUUUUAUUUGCAUUUCCCUAAUUAUUAAUUAUGUUGAGCAUCUUUUCAUGUGCUUAUUGGCAAUUUAUAUAUUUUCUUUGGAGAAAUGUCUACUCAACUCUUUUGCCCAUUUUAAAAUCAGGUUUUUUUUUUGUUGUUGUUGAAUUGUAGGAGUUCUUUACAUAUUUGGGAUAUGAACCACUUAUCAGAUACAUGAUUUGCAAAUAUUUUCUCCCAUUCUAUGCCUUUUCACUAUUGAUUAUAUCCUUUUACGCACAGAAGUUUUACAUUUUUGAUGUAGCCCAAUUUUUCUAUUUUUUCUUUUGUUGCCUGUGCAAGAGUUUUAUUUUAAAUGCAAUUUUGGGAUGUCUAUUAGACAUCCAAGUCAAAAUGUCAAAUAGACGGCUGGAUAUAUGAGUCUGAAGGUCAUAAAAGAGAUCAGAAUGAGAUAUAAAUUAGGGAAUCAUUCACAUAUAGAUGGUAUUUAAGGCCAUGGGUCUGGACAGAAUCACCCAGGAGAGAAGUCAUAUAGGAACACAUAGGUUUCCCUAGGGAAUACAGUCAUCUUAGAGUAAAAUUCCAUCGAAGGAGAUCAGGAGGUCUUGGCUGAGUUAAAUUUGGAUAAUAUAAGUUAUUAACUAUGUUAAUGUGUUCUAAGCUAGAUGCCAGGUUAAGGCAGAAAUUAGGAGGUCCUGGGCAAGUAUCAAUUUGCUCUGCUAUUGUAUUAUUACAAGAAUAAUACUAACAAUAGUACAUGACCUCAUUUCAUCCUCACAAUAGCUUUACGCGAUUGAUAUUCUUGUCUUCACUUUACAGGCAAAGAAACAAAAGAGAAGUAAAGUAAUUUACCCAGUUGCUAUAGUUAGCAUGUGGUAGGUCCAUAUUAGAGGUCUGGUCUGUCUGCAUGAUGGUUAAUUUUAUGAGAUAGCAAGUAAAACAUUAUUUGUGUCUGUGUCUGUGUCUGUGAGGAUGUGUUCGGAGAGGUUCACAAGCAUUUGAAUCAGUAGACGGAGCAAAUAAGGUCCGCCCUCACCAAUGUGGGCAGGCAUCAUCCAAUUCACUGAGGACUCCUGCUCACACAGAACAAAAAGUCAGAGGAUGUGCCUAUAGUUCCAGCUUCUUGGAAGGCUGCGGCAGGAAGAUGCUGGGGCCCAGGAGUUUGAGGCCAGCCAGGGCAACAUAGCAAGACCUUUCUCUUUAAAAAAAUUUUUUUUGGCUGGGUGCAGUGGCUCAUGCCUGUAAUCCCAGCACUUUGGGAGGCCGAGGCAGGCGGAUCAUGAGGUCAGGAGAUCGAGACCAUCCUGGCUAACAUGGUGAAACCCCGUCUCUACCAAAAAUACAAAAAAUUAGCCGGGCGUUGUGGUGGGCACCUGUAGUACCCGCUACUCAGGAGGCUGAGGCAGGAGAAUGGAGUGAACCCCGGAGGCGGAGGUUGCAAUGAGUGGAGAUUGCACCACUGCACUCCAGCCUGGGCGACAGAUCAAGACUCCGUCUCAAAAAAAAAAAAAUUUUUUUUUAAGGCAUAGGAAGGGCAAAUUCUCUCAUUCUCUCUCUUCUUGAGCUGGGACAUCCAUUUUCUCCUGCCUUCAGGAAAUCAGAGCUCCAUGUUCUUGGAUCUCCCGACUCUGGGACUUACACCUUACCCUUUUCCCCUCAGUCUUUCAGACUUGGACUGAAUUACACCAUCACCUUUCCUGGUUCUCCAGCUUGCAGAUAGCAUGUCAUGGGACUUCUUAGCCUCUGUAAUCAUAUGAGCCAGUUCAUAUAGUAAAUCUCCUCCUAUUGAUCUAUACCUAUAUCUGUAAUCCUAUUAGUUGGGUUUCUUUGGAAAACUCUAAUACCCCCUUAUCCACAGUUUUUUUUUUUUUCUGCAGUUUCAGUUAUCUACGGCCAACUGGGUAAACCAAAUAGAUGCUCUUUACAAAUAUUUUUUAACUUCUUAAAAUAUCUCAUUGAGGAUUCCGUUCCAAGAUGGCCAAAUAGGAACAGCUCUGGUCUGCAGCUCCCAGUGUGAUCGACGCAGAAGACGGAUGAUUUCUGCAUUUCCAACUGAGGUACCUGGUUCAUCUUACUAGGACUGGUUGGACAGUGGGUGCAGCCCACGGAGGGUGAGCCGAAGCAGGGCAGGGCAUCGCCUCACCUGGGAAGCGCAAGGAGUCAGGGGAUUUCCUUUUCCUAGCCAAGGGAAGCCGUGACAGAUGGUACCUGGAAAAACGGGACACUCCUGCCCAAAUACUGCGCUUUUCCAAAGUCUUAGCAAAUGGCACACCAGGAGAUUAUAUCCUGUGCCUGGCUCGACAGAUCCUAUGUCCAUGGAGCCUUGCUCACUGCUAGUGCAACAGUCUGAGAUUGACCUGCAAGGCAGCAACCUGGCAUGGGGAGGGGCAUCCGCCAUUGCUGAGGCUUGAGUAGGUAAAUAAAGUGGCUGUGGAAGCUCGAACUGGGUGGAGCCCACCACAGCUCAGCAAGGCUGACUGCCUCUGUAGUCUCCACCUCUGGGGCAGGGCAUAGCUGAACAAAAAGCAGCAGAAACUUCUGCAGACUUAAACAUCCCUGUCUGACAGCUCUGAAGAGAGCAGUGGUUCUCCCAGGAUGGUGUUUUAGCUUGGAGAACAGACAGACUGCCUCCUCAAGUGGGUCCCUGACCCCCAUGUAGCCUAACUGGGAGACACCUCCCAGUAGCCGACUGACACCUCAUACAGGCAGGUGCCCCUCUGGGAUGAAGCUUCCAGAGGAAGGAUCACUCAGCAAUAUUUGCUGUUCUGCAAUAUUUGCUGUUCUGCAGCCUCUGAUGGUGAUACCCAGGCAAACAGGUCUGGAGUAGACCUCCAGCAAACUCCAACAGACCUGCAGCUGAGGGACCUCACUGGUAGAAGGAAAACUAACAAACAGAAAGAAAUAGCAUCAACAUCAACAAAAAGGACAUCCACACCAAAACCCCAUCUGUAAGUUACCAACAUCAAAGACCAAAGGUAGAUAAAACCACAAAGAUGGGGAGAAACCAGAGCAGAAAAGCUGAAAAUUCUAAAAACCAGAGCACCUCUUCUCCUCCAAAGGAUCACAACUCCUUGCCAGCAAUGGAACAAAGCUGGGUGGAGAAUGACUUUGACGAGCUGACAGAAGUGGACUUCAGAAGGUCAGUAAUAAUAAACUUCUCCCAGCUAAAGGAGGAUGUUCUAACCCAUCGCAAGGAAGCUAAAAACCUUGAAAAUAGAUUAGACGAAUGGCUAACUAGAAUAAACAGUGUAGAGAAGACCUUAAAUGACCUGAUGGAGCUGAAAACCAUGGCACGAGAACUUUGUGACACAUGCACAAGCUUCAAUAGCCGAUUCGAUCAAGAAAGGAUAUCAGUGAUUGAAGAUCAAAUUAAUGAAAUAACUCAAGAAGAUUAGAGAAAAAAGAGUAAAAGGGAACGAACAAAGCCUCCAAGAAAUAUGGGACUAUGUGAAAGACCAAAUCUACGUUUGAUUGGUGUACCUGAAAAUGACAGGGAGAAUGGAACCAAGUUGGAAAACACUCCUCAGGAUAUUAUCAAGGAGAACUUCCCCAACUUAGCAAAGCAGGCCAACAUUCAAAUUCAGGAUAUACAGAGAAUGCCACAAAGAUACUCCUCAAGAAGAGCAAACCCAAGACACAUAAUUGGCAGAUUCACCAAGGUUGAAAUGAAGGAAAAAAUGUUAAGCGCAGCCAGAGAGAAAGGUCGGGUUACGCACAAAGGGAAGCCCAUCAGACUAACAGCGGAUCUCUCGGCAGAAACCCUACAAGCCCGAAGAGAGUGGGGGCCAAUAUUCAACAUUCUUAAAGAAAAGAAUUUUCAACCCAGAAUUUCAUAUCCAGCCAAACUAAGCUUCAUAAGUGAAGAAUAAAAUCCUUUCCAGACAAGCAAAUGCUGAGAGAUUUUGUCACCACCAGGCCUGCCCUAAAAGAGCUCCUGAAGGAAGCACUAAACAUGGAAAGGAAAAACCGGUACCAGCCACUGCAAAAAUAUGCCAAAUUGUAAAGACCAUCGAUGCUAUGAAGAAACUGCAUGAACUAACAAGCAAAAUAACCAGCUAACAUCAUAAUGACAGGAUCAAAUUCACACAUAACAAUAUUAACCUUAAAUGUAAAUGGGCUAAAUGCCCCAAUUAAAAGACACAGACUGGCAAAUUGGAUAAAGAGUCAAGACCCAUCCGUGUCCUGUAUUCAGGAGACCCAUCUCACGUGCAGAGACACACAUAGGCUCAAAAUAAAGGGAUGGAGGAAGAUCUACCAAGCAAAUGGAAAGCAGAAAAAAGCAGGGGUUGCAAUCCUAGUCUCUGAUUAAACAGACUUUAAACCAACAAAGAUCAAACGGGACAAAGAAGGCCAUUACAUAAUGGUAAAGGGAUCAAUUCAACAAGAAGAGCUAACUAUCCUAAAUAUAUAUGCACCCAAUACAGGAACACCCAGAUUCAUAAAACAAGUCCUUAGAGACCUACAAAGAAACUUAGACUCCCACACAAUAAUAAUGGGAGACUUUAACACCCCACUGUCAAUAUUAGACAGAUCAAUGAGACAGAAGGUUAACAAGGAUAUCCAGGACUUGAACUCAGAUCUGCACCAAGCAGACUUAAUAGACAUCUACAGACCUCUCCACCCCAAAUGAAGAGAGUAUACAUUCUUCUCAGCACCACAUCACACUUAUUCCAAAAUUGACCACAUAGUUGGAAGUAAAGCACUCCUUAGCACAUGUAAAGGAACAGAAAUCACAACAAACUGUGUCUCAGACCACAGUGCAAUCAAAUUAGAACUCAGGAUUAAGAAACUCACUCAAAACUGCACAACUGCAUGGAAACUGAACAAUCUGCUCCUGAAUGACUACUGGGUAAAUAACGAAAUGAAGGCAGAAAUAAAGACGUUCUUUGAAAACAAUGAGAGCAAAGACACAACGUGCCAGAAUCUCUGGAACACACUUAAAGCACGGUAUAUAGGGAAAUUUAUAGCACUAAAUACCCACAAGAGAAAGCAGGAAAGAUCAAAAUCAACACCCUAACAUCAUAAUUAAAAGAACUAGAGAAGCAAGAGCAAACAAAUUCAAAAGCUAGCAGAAGGCAAGAAAUAACUAAGAUCAGAGCAGAACUGAAAGAGAUAGAGACACAAAAACUUCAAAAAAAUCAACGAAUCCAGGAGCUCGUUUUUUGAAAAGAUCAACAAAAUUGAUAGACUGUUAGCAAGACUAAUAAAGAAGAAAAGAGAGAAGAAUCAAAUCGAUGGUAUAAAAAGUGAUAAAGGGGAUGUCACCACCAAUCCCACAGAAAUACAAACUACCAUCAGAGAAUACUAUAAACACCUCUACACAAAUAAACUAGAAAAUCUAGAAGAAAUGGAUAAAUUCCUGGACACAUACAGCCUCCCAAGACUAAACCAGGAAGAAGUUGAAUCUCUGAUUAGACCAAUAACAGGCUCUGAAAUUGAGGCAGUAGUUAAUAGCCCACCAACCAAAAACAGUCCAGGACCAGACAGAUUCACAGCCAAAUUCUACCAGAGGUACAGAGGAGCUGGUACCAUUCUUUCUGAAACUAUUCCUAGCAAUAGAAAAGAGGGAAUCCUCCCUAAUUCAUUUUAUGAGGCCAGCAUCAUCCUGAUACCAAAGCCUGGCAGAGACACAACAAAAAAAAGAGAGGCCGGGCGCGGUGGCUCACGCCUGUAAUCC